GAUCAUGGCUCAGGAUGAACGCUAGCGGCAGGCCUAACACAUGCAAGUCGAGGGGCAGCACGGUGUAGCAAUACACUGGUGGCGACCGGCGCACGGGUGCGUAACGCGUAUGCAACCUACCCAUAACAGGGGGGAUAACACUGAGAAAUUGGUACUAAUACCCCAUAACAUCAGGACCGGCAUCGGUUCUGGUUGAAAACUCCGGUGGUUAUGGAUGGGUAUGCGUUGUAUUAGCUGGUUGG
rnacentral:rRNA from 1 species